ACUGUCAGCUGCUUGGGAAACUCAACCGCUGCUGCUGUGACAGAUUCAACAACACAACGGGUGAUGCACUUUCUGGGCGACUCUGGCAAAGAAAUUCCAUCGCAGCAAAUUGGAAUUUUACAAAAAGGAUGUGAGGUGAAGAUGGUUGUGGAGGUUCAUGGGAGCACGGAGCUGCAUCGUGGGGAUAUGCAGCUACAGUGCCGUGAAAAAGUAUUUGCCCCCUUCCUGAUUUCUGUGUUUUUUGCAUAUUUAUCACACACAAAGGUUUCAGAUCAUCAAACCAAUUUUAGUAUGACACAGAGACAACCCAAGGAAAUAGAAAAUGCAGUUUCUAAAUGAUGAUUUUAUUUACCAAGAGAGAAAAAAUUACAAACUUGUCUGGCCCUCCCCACAGUCCAGAGAUCAACGUGGUUCCAGGACCUCUCUGUUUCUUAUGACCGACAAGUGUUAUUUGCAUGUGUAUUUUUCCAUGUUGUAUUUAACAUAUGUUUGAUAUAAAUGCCAUAUAAAGUCAUAUGAUGUGUUUAAAAAAAGUUAUGAAAUUGUGAUUCCAUUUCAGUAGCCUGCACAGUAAACAACGUACAGCACUAUCAUGAUAUAAUUUUAACUGCCCCUGUGUAUUUUAAAUGAUUCUGUUUUAUAAAGAGCAAAUUAAUAAAUUAUUUUUUUCAGUAAGAAUUCAA